UGAGGUGCAUGUGGCUGGCACCGGGGAUCCCAAGGCCUUGGAUGGCAGCUCCCAGGGGGUUUGUGACAGGGCUAUUUCUGGUGUUCCCUGUGUCACCCAACUGACAUUGCCCCCAUCCCCUGCCUGUGCUCUUGCUACCCUGCAGGGUAGGGUCAGACGCUUUGUGAGGAAACACCUGGGCAAGGCUGUGACUGUCAUCCAUGGAAAAAGGCAGCAGCGGGUGGAAGAGCCAGACGUGGCACUAAGCUUGGAUGCGGAGUCACCGUCAAUGUCGCCUGCUGUAUUUCAGGACAGCGAGAAACAGCCAGGCAUUGCCACUCUUCCAGACCCAGGAGCGGCCCCACGGCGACGACUCCAUCGCUUCAGGAGAGUGCUGAGGGCUCUGCGCAAGGCUUUCUGUUCCUCUUGCCUCAACCCACGUGUGGAGGAGUAGCACCCUGCUGCCAGCACCAGGCCCAAGGGAGCUGUGCCGAGGAUGUCGUGCUGCAGCCUGCACUUGUUGUGGGUGCUUUCUUGGGCCAGUAAAUAAUAACUCUUUUCCCCCCA